AAUCUAUGAUGUGGACAAUCUCUCUAGUCGUCUCUGAAUCUUUCCCAAGCAUCGUAGAGGUCUUCUGUGUCCUCCUGCUGAAAAUUUUGUAUCUUAUUCCUUAAGAGU
rfam:Eutrema salsugineum unplaced genomic scaffold scaffold_14, whole genome shotgun sequence.